AGAGUUUGAUCCUGGCUCAGAUUGAACGCUGGCGGCAGGCCUAACACAUGCAAGUCGAACGGUAACAGGAAGCAGCUUGCUGCUUCGCUGACGAGUGGCGGACGGGUGAGUAAUGUCUGGGAAACUGCCUGAUGGAGGGGGAUAACUACUGGAAACGGUAGCUAAUACCGCAUAAUGUCGCAAGACCAAAGAGGGGGACCUUCGGGCCUCUUGCCAUCGGAUGUGCCCAGAUGGGAUUAGCUUGUUGGUGGGGUAACGGCUCACCAAGGCGACGAUCCCUAGCUGGUCUGAGAGGAUGACCAGCCACACUGGAACUGAGACACGGUCCAGACUCCUACGGGAGGCAGCAGUGGGGAAUAUUGCACAAUGGGCGCAAGCCUGAUGCAGCCAUGCCGCGUGUAUGAAGAAGGCCUUCGGGUUGUAAAGUACUUUCAGCGGGGAGGAAGGGAGUAAAGUUAAUACCUUUGCUCAUUGACGUUACCCGCAGAAGAAGCACCGGCUAACUCCGUGCCAGCAGCCGCGGU
rnacentral:rRNA from 1 species